rnacentral:rRNA from 1 species
GAUGAACGCUGGCGGCGUGCCUAAUACAUGCAAGUCGAGCGAACAGACGAGGAGCUUGCUCCUCUGACGUUAGCGGCGGACGGGUGAGUAACACGUGGAUAACCUACCUAUAAGACUGGGAUAACUUCGGGAAACCGGAGCUAAUACCGGAUAACAUGUUGAACCGCAUGGUUCAACAGUGAAAGACGGUCUUGCUGUCACUUAUAGAUGGAUCCGCGCCGCAUUAGCUAGUUGGUCAGGUAACGGCUUACCAAGGCAACGAUGCGUAGCCGACCUGAGAGGGUGAUCGGCCACACUGGAACUGAGACACGGUCCAGACUCCUACGGGAGGCAGCAGUAGGGAAUCUUCCGCAAUGGGCGAAAGCCUGACGGAGCAACGCCGCGUGAGUGAAGAAGGUCUUCGGAUCGUAAAACUCUGUUAUUAGGGAAGAACAAAUGUGUAAGUAACUAUGCACGUCUUGACGGUACCUAAUCAGAAAGCCACGGCUAACUACGUG